rnacentral:miRNA from 1 species
GCCGGCCGGCCUCGGACCUAC